GCCAGGGGAGCGUGGGCGGUGCACGCACUCGACUUGUAAUCGAGACUCCGUGGGUUCAAAUCCCACCCCUGGCU
rfam:Salinarchaeum sp. Harcht-Bsk1, complete genome.